GAUGAACGCUAGCGGAGGCUUAACACAUGCAAGUCGAGGGGCAUCACGAGGUAGCAAUACGUUUGGUGGCGACCGGCGCACGGGUGAGUAACACGUAUGCAACCUUCCCUGUACAGGGGGAUAACCCGGAGAAAUUCGGACUAAUACCCCAUGAUGAUAUUAUGGGGCAUCCUUUAAUAUUUAAAGCUCUGGCGGUACAGGAUGGGCAUGCGCGACAUUAGCUAGUUGGUAAGGUAACGGCUUACCAAGGCGACGAUGUUUAGGGGACCUGAGAGGGUUGUCCCCCACACUGGUACUGAGACACGGACCAGACUCCUACGGGAGGCAGCAGUGAGGAAUAUUGGUCAAUGGGCGCAAGCCUGAACCAGCCAUCCCGCGUGAAGGAAGAAUGCGCUACGCGUUGUAAACUUCUUUUCCAGGGGGAGAAUAAUCCUGUCGUGACAGGACUUGACGGUACUCUGGGAAUAAGCAUCGGCUAACUCCGUG
rnacentral:rRNA from 1 species